rnacentral:rRNA from 1 species
UACGAAGGGGGCUAGCGUUGCUCGGAAUUACUGGGCGUAAAGGGAGCGUAGGCGGAUAUUUAAGUCAGGGGUGAAAUCCCGCAGCUCAACUGCGGAACUGCCUUUGAUACUGGGUAUCUUGAGUAUGGAAGAGGUGAGUGGAAUUCCGAGUGUAGAGGUGAAAUUCGUAGAUAUUCGGAGGAACACCAGUGGCGAAGGCGGCUCACUGGUCCAUUACUGACGCUGAGGUGCGAAAGCGUGGGGAGCAAACAGG